rnacentral:rRNA from 1 species
GUUGAACGCUGGCGGCAGGCCUAACACAUGCAAGUCGAGCGAACGGCGGACGGGUGAGUAAUGUAUGGGCAUCUGCCUGAUCUAGCGGGCUAACUACUGGAAACGGUGGCUAAUACCGCAUACUAUCCGAUGGACCCAUAGGGGAUUAGCUAGUAGGUGGGGUAACGGCUCACCAAGGCGACGAUAUCUAGCUGGUCUGAGAGGAUGAUCAGCAACACUGGGACUGAGACACGGCCCAGACUCCUACGGGAGGCAGCAGUGGGGAAUAUUGCACAAUGGGCGCAAGGCUGAUGCAGCCAUGCCGCGUGGAUGAAGAAGGCCUUCGGGUUGUAAAGUACGUUCAGCGGGGAGGCGUUACCCGCAGAAGAAGCACCGGCUAACUCCGUGCCAGCAGCCGCGGUAAUAC